rnacentral:lncRNA from 1 species
UUGCGGUGUAUAAUCUUGUACAUGUAGCACAUUUUCAGAGAGAUACAAACUCAUAUACUUAAGUUAUUCUCGUGAAACCAAAUGCCUUCUAACUAUUACGCUGACAUCGCCAUACCAUUAUAAGCCCACAAUGUUUUGCGGUCGUAUAAAACAGUUAAUAUAAAAACAAUAUGCAUAUAUAAUAUUAUUUAUGUAUGCUAGUUU